rnacentral:rRNA from 1 species
GUUAUAGGGUCAAGUGACUAAGUGCAUGUGGUGGAUGCCUUGGCGAUCACAGGCGAUGAAGGACGUAGUAGCCUGCGAUAAGCGACGGGGAGCUGGCAAACGAGCUUUGAUCCGUCGAUUUCCGAAUGGGGAAACCCACCUCGUAAGAGGUAUCCCACGCUGAAUUCAUAGGCGUGUGGAGGCGAACGCGGUGAACUGAAACAUCUAAGUAGCCGCAGGAAAAUAAAUCAACCGAGAUUCCGAAAGUAGUGGCGAGCGAAAUCGGAUCAGCCGGUGCGUGAUAGUCGAGAGGUUAGUGGAACGGUCUGGAAAGUCCGGCCAUAGCGGGUGAUAGCCCCGUACGCAAAAACCUUUCGGUGGUACUAAGCGCACGACAAGUAGGGCGGGACACGUGAAAUCCUGUCUGAAGAUGGGGGGACCAUCCUCCAAGGCUAAAUACUCGUGAUCGACCGAUAGUGAACAAGUACCGUGAGGGAAAGGCGAAAAGAACCCCGGGAGGGGAGUGAAAUAGAUCCUGAAACCGCAUGCAUACAAACAGUCGGAGCCCGAAAGGGUGACGGCGUACCUUUUGUAUAAUGGGUCAGCGACUUACGUUUGGUGGCGAGCUUAACCGUAUAGGGGAGGCGUAGGGAAACCGAGUCCGAACAGGGCGAAUCAGUCGUCAGGCGUAGACCCGAAACCGGAUGAUCUACUCAUGGCCAGGAUGAAGGUAGGGUAACACCUGCUGGAGGUCCGAACCGACUACUGUUGCAAAAGUAGCGGAUGAGCUGUGGGUAGGGGUGAAAGGCUAAACAAAUCCGG